rnacentral:rRNA from 1 species
AUUGAACGCUGGCGGCAGGCUUAACACAUGCAAGUCGAGCGAGCGGCGGACGGGUGAGUAAGGUCUGGGAAAGUGCGUGAUGGAGGGGGAUAACUAGGGGAAACGGUAGCUAAUACCGCAUACCAUCAGAUGUGCCCAGAUGGGAUUAGCUAGUAGGUGGGGUAAUGGCUCACGGUGGCGACGAGGCCUAGCCGGCCUGAGAGGAUGACCGGCCACACUGGAACUGAGACACGGCCCAGACUCCUACGGGAGGCAGCAGUGGGGAAUAUUGCACAAUGGGCGCAAGCCUGAUGCAGCCAUGCCGCGUGUGUGAAGAAGGCCUUCGGGUUGUAAAGCUCUUUCAGCGAGGAGGCGUUACUCACAGAGAAAGCACCGGCUAACUCCGUGCCAGCAGCCGCGGUAAUAC